ensembl:rRNA 5S_rRNA 5S ribosomal RNA
AGUUCAUCCCUUACUGCCCUGAAUGUGCCCAGUCUCGUCUGAUCUAGGGAGCUAAGCAGGGUCAGGCCUGGUUAGUACUUGGAUAAAUUGCCUGGGAAUACUACAUGCUGUAGGCUUUU